AGGAUAUCAACAUCUGAACUCUUUCAUCCCUCCCUGACGACUACAGUAGAAAACAGAGGAGAAAAUGCCUCCCAAACGAUCAAAGAACAUGGGAGAUAUUAGGGACUUUCUUUCCAAGCAAACGAACAGUCCCAGUGGCAGCAGCAGCAAAGCAAGCAUGCAGCCAGAAGGACC